rnacentral:rRNA from 1 species
AGUGAACGCUGGCGGCAGGCCUAACACAUGCAAGUCGAACGGAAGCACAGUAAGCGUUCGCCCCUACGGGUGGCGAGUGGCGGAUGGGUGAGACAUACAUAGGAUUCUACUUUUUCGUGGGGGAUAACGUAGGGCAAGUUACGAUAACACAGCAUAUGUCCAACGGGAGAAUGCAGGAGAUCUUCGGACCUUGCGUGACUGAUUGAGACGAUGUCGGAUUAGCUAGUUGGCGAGGUAAAGGCCCACCAAGGCGACGAUCCGUAGCUGACCUGAGAGGAUGAUCGGCCACACUGGAACUGAGACACGGUCCAGACUCCUACGGGAGGCAGCAGUAGGGAAUAUUGGACAAUGGGCGAAAGCCUGAUCCAGCCAUGCCGCGUGAGUGAUGAAGGUCUUCGGAUUGUAAAGCUCUGUUAUUAGGGAAGAAAAACAGCGUAUGUAUACCCCGCUGUUCUGACGGUACCUAAUGAGAAAGCACCGGCUAACUUCGUG